rnacentral:rRNA from 1 species
UGGUGGAGUGAUUUGUCUGCCUAAUCGCGAUAACGAACGAGACCUUGACCUGCUAAAUAGCCCGUAUUGCUUUGGCAGUACGCUGGCUUCUUAGAGGGACUAUCGGCUCAAGCCGAUGGAAGUUUGAGGCAAUAACA